CCGUGGUUUCGCGUAUCGGCAUGAUCGGGAGCUUUUAUCUCGGUCUUGUCGUGCGCGUUGCUUCCGGAUAUCACAAAACCCCGGCACGAAAAGUGUCAAGGAACAUGCAAACGAACGGCUGGCAUUCGCCUCCCCGGAGACGGAGUGUGGGCGGAUGCUGUGCCGCGAACUGAAGUCUAAAACGACUCUCGGCAACGGAUAUCUCGGCUCUCGCAUCGAUGAAGAACGUAGCGAAAUGCGAUACUUGGUGUGAAUUGCAGAAUCCCGUGAACCAUCGAGUCUUUGAACGCAAGUUGCGCCCCAAGCCUUCUGGCCGAGGGCACGUCUGCCUGGGUGUCACAAAUCGUCGUCCCUCACCAUCCUUUGCUGAUGCGGGACGGAAGCUGGUCUCCCGUGUGUUACCGCACGCGGUUGGCCUAAAUCCGAGCCAAGGACGCCUGGAGCGUACCGACAUGCGGUGGUGAACUUGAUCCAUUACAUUUUAUCGGUCGCUCUUGUCCGA